rnacentral:rRNA from 1 species
UACGAAGGGUGCAAACGUUGCUCGGAAUUAUUGGGCGUAAAGCGCACGUAGGCGGCUAUCUAAGUCGGAUGUGAAAUCCCCGGGCUUAACCUGGGAAUGGCAUUUGGGACUGCAAGGCUCGAGUGCGGCAGAGGAGACUGGAAUUCCUGGUGUAGCAGUGAAAUGCGUAGAUAUCAGGAGGAACACCGAUGGCGAAGGCAGGUCUCUGGGCUGACACUGACGCUCAUGCACGAAAGCGUGGGGAGCAAACAGG